AUUGAACGCUGGCGGCAGGCCUAACACAUGCAAGUCGAGCGAGCGUCGGACGCGUGUGUACUGUCUGUGUAUCUGCCCGAUGUAGGGGGAUAACUACUGUAAACGCUAUCUAAUACCUCAUCCUAUCUGAUGUCCCCACAUGGGCUUAGCUAGUAGGUGAGGUAAUGGCUCACCUAGGCGACGAUCCCUAGCUGGUCUGAGAGGAUGACCAGCCACACUGGGACUGAGACACGGCCCAGACUCCUACGGGAGGCAGCAGUGGGGAAUAUUGCACAAUGGGCGCAAGCCUGAUGCAGCCAUGCGGCGUGUGUGAAGAAGGCCUUAGGGUUGUAAAGGACUUUCAGCGGGGAGGAGGUAAAGGAAGAAGAAGCAACGGCUAACUCCGUGCCAGCAGCCGCGGUAAUAG
rnacentral:rRNA from 1 species